CCCUCGAUAGCUCAGUUGGCAGAGCGGAGGACUAUAGAUGAAAUUUGUCUUUUCUCCUCUGCCAGAUCUUAGGAUCCCUUGCCACCAGUUCGCAUUCUGCAGCCAUUUUGGGGGA